AUAAGCCCCUCUGUUAACUUUUGUUCAAGCCUGUCUAGAUCUUUUAUCAGUCUAGAAAGAUGUUGGAGAAAAGACAUCAUCCUCUUCUAUAAUCUCCAUCUGUAAUUGGACUAACAACUGGACCAGUGAAUGCAGGCAACUUACUCUCCAUUCGACCUUGCAGGUCACACCAUGGUCUCAAGAGGGAAAAUGAGUGCUCUAUGGAUUGAACAGAAAAGGUGAAUCAAAACUCCAACCAUCUGUAUGAGGGUCUGGAUGGAUAAAGGAUGCCCACUGGAGCUGGAAAUGAUGGAUCAGGUGGAUCCACACUUGAACCAUCUGUAUGAUGAUCUGCACCCACUGGAUCUGUAAAUGGUGGUGCAGAAAGACACAGCACAUCAUUAUAUCGUUGGCUCCGCCCACUGGUGUUCAGUCUAAAGUAGUAGUUGUUGACAAUCAUAAAGUUGUAAUAACAGUAAGAUUGUGAUGUCAGACAAACAUUGUGCUGUUGCUGGCUGUGGGAAAUUAGUGUCUUUGUAAGGGUCGCAAAUAAUUUGAAAAUAUUUAUGUUUCUAAAUAUGCCCCCCUACCAUGAACUAAACUGGACUGUUGCAGAGACCAAGUGUAGUAGGGUACACUACUAUGCAGAAUUCUGGCCUGGUGUUUGGUCCCCCCUUUCUCUGGCUUGUGUCUCCAUCAUCAUUACACUCUUGUCAGUGUAAUAGUAUCGUCGUCUGCAUACCAGGACUUUGUUACUCAGCUGUCCCUUCUCCUUCAAGCUACAUUUUUGUCAAGCUGCAACAAGUUGGAAUACAUAAUUAUUAACGUUUAAUGAUUUUGAUGUAUGAAAUAUGUAACAAAAGCAAAAAAUGUAUAGACAUUCUAUUAAGAAAUUACCUUUUUGUUGUUUGUUUACUGACCUUUCAACCAUAUUGCAUUUAUAAUUGAUCAUCAUACCUUUGGUCUACUGUUAACAGGCUACUGUAGAAAACAAAGUCAAACAAAAAAGAGAGAAAAAAUUAUAAAUGCUGAAUGUGUCUCAUCUUAAA